AACGAACGCUGGCGGCAUGCCUAACACAUGCAAGUCGAACGAGACCUUCGGGUCUAGUGGCGCACGGGUGCGUAACGCGUGGGAACCUGCCCUUAGGUUCGGAAUAACUCCCCGAAAGGGGUGCUAAUACCGGAUAAUGUCUUCGGACCAAAGAUUUAUCGCCUUUGGAUGGGCCCGCGUUGGAUUAGCUAGUUGGUAGGGUAAAAGCCUACCAAGGCGACGAUCCAUAGCUGGUCUGAGAGGAUGAUCAGCCACACUGGGACUGAGACACGGCCCAGACUCGGAAGGGAGGAAAGGGGGGAGGAGAGGGGAAGGGGGGGAACAGCGUGAAGGGGCAAGGGGGGGGGAGUGAAAAGAGGAUGGGGGUUGUAGAGCUGUAUGGCGUGGGAUGAUAGUGACAGGGCAGGAAAAAUAAGCUCAGAAUAAUGCCGGGCAAGCGGGCGGGGUAAACAUCGGAAGAGCAAACGUCUGAAC
rnacentral:rRNA from 1 species